GGUUCAAUUCCAGUUCCUCGAAGUACUAGGAGUAUCCGACCUUCUACUUGUGGUUGUGUCGAAACCAAAAAUUUUUGGACAGCCUCUUCGGGGCAUCCAUUGAGGAAAA
rnacentral:sRNA from 1 species